rnacentral:rRNA from 1 species
UGGGGAAUAUUGGACAAUGGGCGAAAGCCUGAUACAGCCAUGCCGCGUGUGUGAAGAAGGUCUUCGGAUUGUAAAGCACUUUAAGUUGGGAGGAAGGGCAGUAAGCGAAUACCUUGCUGUUUUGACGUUACCGACAGAAUAAGCACCGGCUAACUCUGUGCCAGCAGCCGCGGUAAUACAGAGGGUGCAAGCGUUAAUCGGAAUUACUGGGCGUAAAGCGCGCGUAGGUGGUUCGUUAAGUUGAAUGUGAAAGCCCCGGGCUCAACCUGGGAACUGCAUCCAAAACUGGCGAGCUAGAGUAGGGCAGAGGGUGGUGGAAUUUCCUGUGUAGCGGAGAAAUGCGUAGAUAUAGGAAGGAACACCAGUGGCGAAGGCGACCACCUGGGCUCAUACUGACACUGAGGUGCGAAAGCGUGGGGAGCAAACAGG